rnacentral:rRNA from 1 species
UACAGAGGGUGCGAACGUUGUUCGGAUUUACUGGGCGUAAAGCGCGUGUAGGCGGUCUCGCAAGUCGGGUGUGAAAGCCCCGGGCUCAACCUGGGAAUUGCACUCGAUACUGGAUAGCUAGAGUUCGGCAGAGGGAAGCGGAAUUUCCGGUGUAGCGGUGAAAUGCGUAGAUAUCGGAAGGAACAUCAGUGGCGAAAGCGGCUUCCUGGACCAGAACUGACGAUCAGGCUCGAAAGCGUGGGGAGCAAACAGG